rnacentral:rRNA from 1 species
CUCCACGUAAGGAGUCGUCGGCAGCGUCAGAUGUGUAUAAGAGACAGCUCUUAGAGUGGCAUCACUUCUAGAGUAAAGGUUACGGUAUAAGAUGAGUAUGCGUUCUAUUAGUUUGUUGGUGUGGUAACGGCACACCAAGACUACGAUAGAUAGGGGCCCUGAGAGGGGGAUCCCCCACACUGGUACUGAGACACGGACCAGACUCCUACGGGAGGCAGCAGUGAGGAAUAUUGGACAAUGGAGGCAACUCUGAUCCAGCCAUGCCGCGUGCAGGAAGACUGCCCUAUGGGUUGUAAACUGCUUUUAUACAGGAAGAAACACCUCUACGUGUAGAGGCUUGACGGUACUGUAAGAAUAAGGAUCGGCUAACUCCGUGCCAGCAGCCGCGGUAAUACGGAGGAUCCAAGCGUUAUCCGGAAUCAUUGGGUUUAAAGGGUCCGUAGGUGGAUAAUUAAGUCAGAGGUGAAAUCUUGCAGCUCAACUGUAAAAUUGCCUUUGAAACUGGUUAUCUUGAGUUAUUAUGAAGUAGUUAGAAUAUGUAGUGUAGCGGUGAAAUGCAUAGAUAUUACAUAGAAUACCAAUUGCGAAGGCAGAUUACUAAUAAUCAACUGACACUGAUGGACGAAAGCGUGGGUAGCGAACAGGAUUAGAUACCCUGGUAGUCCACGCCGUAAACGAUGGUUACUAGCUGUUUGGACUUCGGUCUGAGUGGCUAAGCGAAAGUGAUAAGUAACCCACCUGGGGAGUACGUUCGCAAGAAUGAAACUCAAAGGAAUUGACGGGGGCCCGCACAAGCGGUGGAGCAUGUGGUUUAAUUCGAUGAUACGCGAGGAACCUUACCAGGGCUUAAAUGUAAGUUGCAUUAGUUAGAGAUAGCUAUUUCUUCGGACCACUUACAAGGUGCUGCAUGGUUGUCGUCAGCUCGUGCCGUGAGGUGUCAGGUUAAGUCCUAUAACGAGCGCAACCCCUGUUGUUAGUUGCCAGCGAGUCAUGUCGGGAACUCUAGCAAGACUGCCAGUGCAAACUGUGAGGAAGGUGGGGAUGACGUCAAAUCAUCACGGCCCUUACGUCCUGGGCUACACACGUGCUACAAUGGUAGGUACAGAGAGCAGCCACUGCGCGAGCAGGAGCGAAUCUAUAAAACCUAUCACAGUUCGGAUCGGAGUCUGCAACUCGACUCCGUGAAGCUGGAAUCGCUAGUAAUCGGAUAUCAGCCAUGAUCCGGUGAAUACGUUCCCGGGCCUUGUACACACCGCCCGUCAAGCCAUGGAAGCUGGGAGUGCCUGAAGUCGGUCACCGCAAGGAGCCGCCUAGGGUAAAACUGGUAACUAGGGCUAAGUCGUAACAAGGUAGCCGUACCGGAAGGUGCGGCUG